rnacentral:rRNA from 1 species
UCGAACGGAGUUAUAUUAUAGCUUGCUAUGGUAUAACUUAGUGGCAGACGGGUGAGUAAUGUAUAGGAAUCUACCUAGUAGUACGGAAUAAUUGUUGGAAACGGCAACUAAUACCGUAUACGCCCUACGGGGGAAAAAUUUAUUGCUAUUAGAUGAGCCUAUAUUAGAUUAGCUAGUUGGUGGGGUAAUAGCCUACCAAGGCAAUGAUCUAUAGCUGAUCUGAGAGGAUGAUCAGCCACACUGGAACUGAGAUACGGUCCAGACUUCUACGGGAGGCAGCAGUGGGGAAUAUUGGACAAUGGGCGAAAGCCUGAUCCAGCCAUGUCGCAUGAGUGAAGAAGGCCUUUGGGUUGUAAAGCUCUUUCGGUGAGGAAGAUAAUGACGGUACUCACAGAAGAAGUCCUGGCUAACUCCGUGCCAGCAGCCGCGGUAAUACGGAGAGGGCUAGCGUUAUUCGGAAUUAUUGGGCGUAAAGAGCGCGUAGGCUGGUUAGUAAGUUAAAAGUGAAAUCCCAAAGCUCAACUUUGGAAUUGCUUUUAAAACUGCUAACCUAGAGAUUGAAAGAGGAUAGAGGAAUUCCUAGUGUAGAGGUGAAAUUCGUAAAUAUUAGGAGGAACACCAGUGGCGAAGGCGUCUAUCUGGUUCAAAUCUGACGCUGAGGCGCGAAGGCGUGGGGAGCAAACAGGAUU